AUGGUAUCGUGGAAGAAGGCACAGAGAUGUACGUACUAAUUAAUGAUUAGUAAAGGGCAGAAUUUUAGAUCUUACUACUGGCAUGGGUGCCUGAAAUCUGCUAAUUAAGCAUUCUCAAGACCUGAUCAAAGGCAUUUAAGGUGGAGUUUGCUUAGCAAGAUGCAGAUAAUUAGAUGAAAGCUAGUAACGAUUUACUUCUGUACAGUGUAACCUGACACUGCUGUCUAAGAAGUGACACUGCCUGCAAAUCCUUUGGUUUGGAUGCCUCAGUGUAACAGGGUAAUGAUUAAAUACCAAGCACAGAUCAAGUCAGGAAUAGGCCUUGUAUUCCACUUCACAGGAGAAAAAGACUGUUUAAUCUAGUGCAGAGUAAGGGUCCGUACUAAAAAGGAGUAGAUCUCCUUCCAUGGAAUCUCAGUGCUCUUCACUGGGGAAGAGGUGCUGCAGUUAGCAUGAAGCAGAGGGCAGAUCUUCCUCCACCGCUGUGUCCUUUGGGGAUGGAUCUGCAGGUUAGUUUACUUUUGCACAGAGCAGGAAGACCAACCUAUCUGCUUGCAUCCCAGCAGUAAAUUCUCUCCCGCUAGUGACAAGGACAACAAUGUGAGCUAGUUGGCAUUAAGGACUGUUGGUUCAGAGGGAGAGCUACUGCAUGGCUGGCAUGAGAACUGCAGGAGAGGCUGACAGGGGAUUCACAGGUUACAUGGCAAGCGUUGCAGACCUACAAGAUGUGCAAAUUAUGGUAGUUAUGGACUUUCAGCUCCAUAUGUUGGGAUAUCUUCUGAAAUUGGAUGUAAAAUGAGUGAUGAUUUGUGACGUUACUGACAGUUUGAGGAGUAAUUGUCAGAUGACUAAAGAAAUCGGGAAUUUGUAGAUAUUUUUAAAUUUUGUAUUCAGAAAAACACAUUUCAUCUUCUAAUGCUUUUCAUAGCAAUUUUUAUUAAAUAUAAGUAAGUUUAUUUUCUAAUAAAAGUAAUAAAUAUGCUAGCGUUAUGUUGUUGAUAGAGUUUAGCCUUUAUUUUAACAUCAUUAUUUGUUUUCCCACACCUCAUGAAUAUAUUCUAGAUAGUUUACAAGUUUGCACCAAGUUGAUUGUUUAAGGAGAAAAAAUGUCAAAAUAGCUUCAAGUACCUUCCAUUAUGUUCUUUGUUGCUCUGCCGCGUUUCCGUCUCUAUCUAUAUUUUAUUAUUAAGAAGGUCUGCUUUUACUUUUAUGAUGUGAAGUCUGUCAAAACAAUGCAUUAAAUAAUUCUGAAUCAUUAUUAUCCAAUACUACAUUUGUUGCUUUCUUUUUUUCCCUCUUUUCCUCUUUUUUUUUUUUUUUUUUUCCCCUUAGAUGGUCCAGGAUUGUUGAAUACUGUACGGUUGUGGCUGGAGCAUUCUUUUAUCCUCCUACUCAGCAGCCCUCAAACAACUGCAUUCAUCAGUCAGAGACUCUGAAGGGUGUUACCUGUGACUCUUCCUGGGGUCUGAAUAAUACAGGAAUGAGUCUUAUACUGAUCUGGUUCUUUCUGUCAGCAGUGAGAAUAUGAUUUGCAGUACCACACAUGAGGUAUGGCCAGAGGUGGAGAAGGAAAAGAAUUAUGGAAUUAUUUUAGAAAGUGUGCAGGCCUAUGUGAUACUUAGCCUGCACAAAGAUUAUUUUUCGGGAGUUACAUAAAAUUAGAUGUAGCCUACACCCAUUUUCCUCCUGAAAAAAUUGUUAACAGGUUGAUUUAAGAGGAUAAUGUAACACUUGCCCUGCAGGCUGUGGGAUUUCUCUAUGGGAUACCUGGGCACCAAGAACUGGAAAGCACAAAAAAA